rnacentral:tRNA from 3 species
GACGAGAUGGCUGACUGUGGAAAGAGCGACGGCUUGCUAAGCAGUAAAAUGCGGGUUCAACUCCCGUUCUCGUCG